GAGGAUGUGGCUCAGUGGUAGAGCACUUGCCUAGCACGCAGUAGACUCUAGGCUCCAUCCCCA
rnacentral:tRNA from 1 species